GCUGGGGAUGGUGGCGCUCGCCUGUAAUCCCAGCAACUCGGGAGGCUGAGGCAGGAGCAUCACAAGUUCAAGGUCAGCCUCUGCAACUUAUCAAGGCCCUAAGCAACUUAGCAAGACCCUGUCUCAA
rnacentral:sRNA from 1 species